GUUUAAUUGUGUCUCCCACUAUUUUAACGAAUUUCAUAGCCCUCAAGUAUGAAAAAUGAGAAACAUCCUUAUAUUUCUAAGUGUGGUUGAGAUCCCUAUUCCUCUCAAACACCUUGUAGAUAGCACAACAAGUAUUCAUGAGUUCAAGAGUAGGUAACUCUUUACUAAUUGUACUUCAUACAAUUCUCAACAUUAUUCUCUCUUACCUCU
rnacentral:lncRNA from 1 species